rnacentral:misc_RNA from 1 species
GAUGAAGAACGUAGCGAAAUGCGAUAAGUAAUGUGAAUUGCAGAAUUCAGUGAAUCAUCGAAUCUUUGAACGCACAUUGCGCUCCCUGGUAUUCCGGGGGGCAUGCCUGUCCGAGCGUCAUUGCUGCCCUCAAGCACGGCUUGUGUGUUGGGCCUCCGUCCUCCUCCCGGGGGACGGGCCCGAAAGGCAGCGGCGGCACCGCGUCCGGUCCUCGAGCGUAUGGGGCUUCGUCACCCGCUCUUGUAGGCCCGGCCGGCGCUUGCCGACACAUCAAUCUUUUUUCCAGGUUGACCUCGGAUCAGGUAGGGAUACCCGCUGAACUUAAGCAUAUCAAUAAGCGGAGGA